rnacentral:rRNA from 1 species
CCGCGUUAAUACGUAGGGUGCAAGCGUUAAUCGGAAUUACUGGGCGUAAAGCGUGCGCAGGCGGUUCGGCAAGAAGGAUGUGAAAUCCCGGGGCUUAACCUCGGAACUGCAUUUGUGACUGCAAGGCUGGAGUGCGGCAGAGGGGGAUGGAAUUCCGCGUGUAGCAGUGAAAUGCGUAGAUAUGCGGAGGAACACCGAUGGCGAAGGCAAUCCCCUGGGCCUGCACUGACGCUCAUGCACGAAAGCGUGGGGAGCAAACAGG